GUUGUGGCUCAGCGGUAGAGUGCUCGCCUAGCACGUGCGAGGCCAUGGUUUGAUCCUCAGCACAACA
rnacentral:tRNA from 1 species